AUUCAUUCGUUUUGUUUUGUUUUUAAACUGGCAUUAGUAAGUACGUAUUUCUUCAGAAUUCUGUUAAGAACUCAAAAUCCGCUGAGAUAUCAAGGAAUGUGAACUCAACAAGUCCUUGAUUUUUCUUCUUUCCCUUGGCAAUGAAUGUGCUCAGCCAUUAUUGGGCUAGGAGGACCACUGUCUGUGAGACAUUCUAUUAAUCCCCUUUCUACAUACAUAGAAAAAUUCGUCCUAUGAGAUGAGGUACAUUUAUCUGUACUAAUACAACAGUGGUUUGUCUCCACCCUGCCACUGAGGAAGAUGCGCUGGCUAACAAUAGUGCUCUACACUGUUUGUCAUCUCUUUCCUGCUUUUCUCCCAAGGUUGUUUCAUACAUUUUGGUGAAAAGGACCUGCAGUUUCCCUGAAGCCAGCAUCAAGCUACAAAACAAAACUCUUGUAUCCUAAAAUCCUCUUUAGUGUUAUUAUCCUGGGCAUCCUUCCACUGGUGAGCCAGAUUGAUAACUCCACUCUCAGUUCAGUAAAAGGCUAGCCACCUUGAUUUCAGGAAGAAGGGGAAGUGCUCUGAGGAAAGCUCAAGCAAGCCAGGAAGUAGGUCAUAGUGAGUGCAGGACCACUGCCACAAAGGGAAGGAGCAGGCGGCUGAACAGCCUGAGCUGAAAUGCUGUGUCCUCUCCCACCGCUUGGAGGAUAGACUCAAAUACUAAUGGAGUGCAAGUCAAAGCAGAGAUCUGGAAAAGGCCUGACCCAAGACUGGAAGCUCUAUUUAACCUAGAGAAGGGGUAAGACUCACUGGCCAAUCAAGGCCCCCAGACGGACCUGCCAGUCAGACAAUGAGGAGGGUUCUUCCGGGUGGCUUCCUGCACGUUUGUUUUGGAGUGCAGGCGUGAAUAGUCCUUUCUGUCCUGCUUUGAGUACUGCUGUUGGGUGCCUUGGGGGGACCUUAAGGGAGCUCGGAAGUUGAGACGUGGUGAGUGCGAGAUCACUGCCCACAAAGGGGAGGAGCAGGCGGAUGAACAGCCAGAGCUGCAAUGGUGGAUCCUCCUCCAGGGCUGCAUGGGACGACAGAUAGAUGAGGCUCUAGGACGGGCACAAAUGCUACCCGAAUGCAAACCACUCCCGAGAUCUGUAAAAGGACUGGCC
rnacentral:lncRNA from 1 species